rnacentral:lncRNA from 1 species
CUCGUCACGCCAAGGACUUUGGCGACUUAAAGCUUGCACAAAUCUGCGGCAUCAUUGCCUCGGAUGAGAAGCGACAUGAAACUGCGUACACCAAGAUCGUGGAGAAGCUGUUUGAGAUCGACCCUGAUGGUACCGUGGUCGCUCUGGCUGACAUGAUGAGGAAGAAGAUCUCAAUGCCUGCCCACCUGAUGUUUGACGGGCAGGACGACAAGCUGUUCGAGCACUUCUCCAUGGUCGCGCAGAGGCUUGGCGUUUACACUGCCAGGGACUACGCCGACAUCCUCGAGUUCCUCGUCGACAGGUGGAAGG